rnacentral:misc_RNA from 1 species
AUGCGAUAAAUUUGUGCAGUCUUAAAAUUUCAGGAGUAGAAAUCUAGAUCUAGUAUUGUAGUAGAAUCUAUUUAGAGUAAUCAAAGAGCUAUAAAAAUAAUAUAUUUUAUACUUCUUUGGAGUAAUUGAUUAGCUUAUUGAUGCUGGUCGAUAACCUUGCGCAUGUGCAUUGGGUAGACGUGUGGGAAAACACGUUUGUAAUAAAUUAGAUAUUUCAGAGCAAGCGAAAGUGAUUUUUUACUAAUAGAAUAAUAUCAUUGUAAACAAGGGUGAAAUAGAAGAAAGAUAUUUUGUUCGAUCGAUUGAACGAAGCCGAAGGACAGCUUAUUUAGAUAAGUGAUCAAUAAUUAUUGGCAAGGAUAAUUUUUAAAAACGUGCAACUAGAUGACCCAGAACGAGAACUCGCCAACAAGCUUCCAGGGUCUAGAACCUAGAGAUAUAUUAUGUGCAGACAAGAUAGUUGAAUUGGAGAAGGUCGACAAGAGUUGCAAUCAAGAAAGCUGGUGUGUAGCAUGGGCUCCAGAUUGCUCAUACAUAGCCUGGUCUCAGGGUGGGGGCAUUGUCUACCUGCUGCCCUGGGCUCCUGACCAAGGACAGUUAUUGAAGAAACCAACAAGGGACCAGAGUCAUGAAAAUUUGAGUGAAAUCGAGGAGUCAGCUUUUAUCGACAACCUUCCUCGUCUUUCACCAGCAGAUGACACUGAAAACGAGGAUGAUUUCAGCUGGAAUGAAAACCCUGGGCCGAGUUGCCAGCAGCAUAAGAUGGAAGCGCAGCGUUUCCGCAUUGACUGUAUGGACUAUGUUUGGUCAAUGACAUUCGGAAGUGGAGUCUCAAGGUCAAAUUGUAAUGUACGGCGGCGAUUCAGUUUCAACAGUGAUCUUAUUCUUUUAACCGGCUUACAAGGUGGCAAGAUUAAAGUAUGGAAUGUAUACACUGGCAAUUUGAUUAUGGAGCUACUGGACCACAAGAGUAAUGUUCAUGGACUAACUGUAAUGUGUAAUGGAAGUCUGAAGUUAGCAUCGUGUUCAGCUGAUUGUACAAUAAAGUGUUGGGACUUAAAUAAUGACGGAAACAUGUAUAAGACAUUGAGAUUUAAGGAGAAUGUGAUGGUGUUUGACUGUAAAUAUUCACCGACAUGUAAGCAGUUGGCAGCAGUCGGGAUGAAUAAGUGUGCAUAUGUUUGGAAUCUUUCAAAUCUCAACUCACCAAGAAAACUAACAGGUCACCUACACAAUGUCGUACACUGUGAUUUCUCACCAGAUGGCGCCCUUCUUGCAACAGCCUCUUUCGAUACUCGAGUUAUCCUGUGGGAUCCAUACACAGGGGACAAGAUAAAAACACUGGGACAUAUGUUUCCAUCUCCGCGGCCGAUAUAUGCUGGAGGAGCUAAUGAGCACUAUGCCAGAUGCGUGUCAUUCUCUAAACAUGGGUACAGGAUAGCUACAGUGGCUGACGAUGGAUAUGUUAGGGUUUGGAGCUUGGAGAGUUUGUCAGAGAAUCCAGUAGAUAUUGCCGAAACUCGUAAACCAUUAUGCUGUUCAUACAGCUCUAAUGGUCAUGUGAUAGCAACAGGACUUAUCUCCCAUGAUAUUGUCACAUGACCAGAGAAAUGUGGAUGAAGAGGAGCUAAAUAUAGCCCCUCCUGACAAGGUGACUUUAAGGUGUCCUUGUCACAUGACCUUUAGAAGGGUCAAGGAAUCGAGCUGGAAAAAUUGAGAUCAUCCGCCCACAACAUGUCGAAGUAGCCAGGUUGCAGCACAUGUGCCGGAUGAAGAUACGACAGCGUGUACAAGAGACUCAGCAGGUUGAUCACCUGCAUUUUCCUUUCCG